GACGAACGCUGGCGGCGUGCUUAACACAUGCAAGUCGAACGGAAAGGCCUGCUUUCCCUUGUGGAUUGCGGGUACUCGAGUGGCGAACGGGUGAGUAACACGUGAGUGAUCUGCCCCCAACUUGGGUAUAAGCCUGGGAAACUGGGUCUAAUUCCCGAUAGGACUGCAGGGUGGUGCCUGUGGUGGAAAACGAUUUUCUAGUGGUUGGGGAUGAGCUCGCGGCCUAUCAGCUUGUUGGUGGGGUAAUGGCCUACCAAGGCGGCGACGGGUAGCCGGCCUGGGAGGGUGGACGGCCACAUUGGGACUGAGAUACGGCCCAGACUCCUACGGGAGGCAGCAGUGGGGAAUAAUGCACAAUGGGCGGAAGCCUGAUGCAGCGACGCAGCGUGGGGGAUGACGGCCUUCGGGUUGUAAACUCCUUUCGACCGCGAGGAAGCCACCUGGUUGGAAGGGUGGUGACGGUAGUGGUAGAAGAAGCACCGGCUAACUACGUG
rnacentral:rRNA from 1 species